rnacentral:misc_RNA from 1 species
CAUUGCGCUCACAGGAGCAAGCGGGCGUACCCAAGCACACCGUCGGAGGCGCACUUUCUCCUUGCCCCUCCCAUCGUAUGCGCGUGCGUCUUGUGGCAUCCCUCUCCUCGUCUCACAUCUCUUAGGAAUACCUCUACAUUGCUGUAGCUUCCCUCCCGCUCGCUCGCUCGGUGCGUGUGCGUGUGUUGUGUGGAAUGGGCAGGCAACAGGGCACACGUGCCGACUCGCACCAUCCAUCAUCUUCAUCAUCCUCAUCGCCACUGCCAGCUCAUUGCGUUUUUGUGUGUCGUUGGCGGUGUGCGAUAUCCCUCCGCCACCUACACGGGUCAUUGCCUUCUGCGCCCAUCCCCCCUCUUGCUCUCUGCAAGCAACCAUGUCGAUGCAGCUCUUCAGCUUCGGGCACCCGUGCGAGCACCAGUUGCACAGGGCGUGCAUUGGCGGAUUGAACUGCCCACUGAACGGCUACCCAGACACGUGGUGCUGCAGUUUUAUCAAGGGCAAGAUCAACUUCAAGCGCGACCGCCCAUGCGAAGGGCCGAGGUGCCACUGGGACUACGUGCACCCCUCACAGAGCCAGUUCGAUGAGGUGACACAAGUGCUCGAGCAGAGCCGUCCCAUCGCCGCCAAGCUGGACGAGGCGAGCGACACCGAUCUACUUUCCUUCAACAUCAGCAACCCGCAUAUUAUCGACACCGUGCAGUGCGCGCUACACAUGAUGCGGCAUCCGCCCAGCGUGUGCGCUCGCCGAGUCGGUCAGCUGCUCGCCUACGCCGCCCUCUUGGCCGGUGAUCAGGACGUCUUUGUCCAGCUGCUGAAGACUAUGAAGAAACCUGUCGAUGGCUACAUCCUCGGCGCGUAUGCGUUCCUGAGACAGGGCAAGACUGGCCAUGUCGGCAGUGCGGGCAAGGGCGGAAGCGGCAACGGCAGCGGUGUAAAGAAGCAGAACAAGAAGAAGGACGGCAAGGAGGACAUCACGGCAACGCUCGCGAACAUUAUGGUCGAGCUCAUGAACGCAGCGCUCAGCCUCGGCGGCCAGCUCGUCGAUCGCGAGGAUCAACACGUGCUGCAGGCAAUGCUCAUCCAGGCACUCUCCACAUACCCGAAGAGCGACAAGCGGCACCAAGAAAUGCUGGAAAAAGCCGUCGCUAAGUUUGGCCACCGUAGGCUCGAGGACGAGGAAGAGGCGGCGGCUGUCAAGCGCGAGGCGGCGAAGAAGGAGACAGCGACGACGGCGAGCAUGGCAACGAGUGUCGCCGCCCCCACAGUCGCCGCAACACCACUGACAACCAGGCAGGAACCAACGGAGACCCCAGCCCCGACUGCCGUCACCGCCACUGCUAGCGCUGGCAGCGCUGCCUCUGCCAUCGCCGCUAUCAACGAGAGCGUAGAUCCUGCCACUGGUGAGGAGACGACCACUGUGACGGCAUCACACGUCCCCGCAGCAGCUACAGCGACCGCCGAAGCAGCAGCGGCGCCGGCAGCUCAAGCCGCCGCCGGUGUUGCUCGCAUUCCCUCACGGAGCAGUUUCGCCGCCGCCGCACCAGGAGCUGCUGCGGCGGACGGCUCAAUGAGGGCUGCCGUCCCCACAGUGCUGCCCGCAUUAGCGGGAGAUGCCGUGGCGAUGCUGACUGGCACCAGCUCCGCUGCUGCCGCCCAACUCAUCGGCAUUGCGACACCAAAGCCGACUGUCUCUUCCAUCCCCGGCACACCCAGCCGAGCAGCCCCUUCGACACCUGGCGCUACUCCAGGGCCUAUCACGUUCAGCACGGCCAUUCAAGUCCAACAGCAUAAUGUGAUGCCGGUGCCGAUCAAUGCGCUAGCGGGACAAGUUUCCGCGAUGGGUGCUCCGGGCCUGCAGGCUACGACAGCUUCUGCGACUCCAGCAGCUUCUACACCCGCGCCGGCACGCACGGCGAUAGUUGGCAUCAGCAAGCUUCACCCGUACUUGGCCGGGCGUGCCGCGAAUAUGAGAGACGAGGUGCCCGGGCUGUCCCCGAUUUACGACCCCAAGAGCCACUCCUCGGGACUGUUCAUCUGCGGCGGGCAGUUCACCGUGGAGCCGCUUGUGUGGAACUACGCUCCGCUGGGCGAUGCUGCUGCGAAUCGACGCUUGGACAGUCCUACGCGUGAGUACAUGAGGAUCAAGGAGGAGAACCGCCAGCGGCACAGAGAAGCGAGGGAGGCGCAGGCGGCGCGCCUCGCUGCGAUCGCAGCCGGCAACCUCGCGUCUACCUCGGAGCGCUUCCCAAACACCUUCUCAAUCAACUUGGCUGAUAGCGAGGACUUCUGUGGAUGGAACGACCCGGAGUGGCAAGGCUCUUCCUCCGACUUUUCCUUCGACUAGAGGGCGACCAAAGCGAAAAAAGGCGGCGGUGGUUGCGUGCAUGCGUGCGUGUGCGUGUGUGUGUCCCUCUCUCUACUCGCGUCUACGAAUUAAGUUCGUCGUGCUGUGCCUUCAAGCCUAAGAGCGCACGCACCCGCAUCACACGCAGAGUCGCGCAGGUGUGUGUGUGUGUGUAUGUGAUGUGUGGUACUCUGUUGUGCAUGUCGCUGUGGACGGGUGCCCGGUGCUGCGCGCUGCAGGCGACGGAGUGGUGGACGAUAAACGAGGAAACAAAGUAUCGCAUCAGUGCGUAAAGGGGCGGAGAGGGGGGUCGAGGGACGGCGCGCAGGCGACUUUGUCUUCGGCUCCUGUCUUUCUCUGUCUCGCCCACGGGUGAGUCGCAGACACGCGCGCCCGUUUUUUCUUCCUUCGCACCCGUCCCCAC